rnacentral:rRNA from 1 species
UACAGAGGGUGCGAGCGUUGUCCGGAAUCACUGGGCGUAAAGGGCGCGUAGGCGGCUUGAUAAGGUUGCGGUGAAAGCCCGGGGCUCGAACCCCGGGUCGCCCGUGGCAACUGUCGAGCUGGAGCACUGUAGAGGCAGGUGGAAUUCCGGGUGGUAGCGGUGGAAUGGCGUAGAGAUCCGGAAGAACACCGGUGGCGAAGGCGGUUAGCUGGGCAGU